rnacentral:rRNA from 1 species
CCUACGGGUGGCUGCAGUGAGGAAUAUUGGUCAAUGGCCGGAAGGCUGAACCAGCCAUGCCGCGUGAAGGUCAGUGCACUAUGGGCGUUAAACUUCUUUUGUGCGGGAGCAAUAAUGGUCACGUGUGGCCAGACGAGAGUACCGUACGAAUAAGCAUCGGCUAACUCCGUGCCAGCAGCCGCGGUAAUACGGGGGGUGCAAGCGUUAUCCGGAUUUAUUGGGUUUAAAGGGGGCGUAGGCUGUGAAGUAAGUCAGCGGUGAAAUGCCCCCGCUCAACGGGGUGAAGUGCCAUUGAUACUGGCUGGCUGGAGUGCGGAUGAGGUAGGAGGAAUGUGUGGUGUAGCGGUGAAAUGCAUAGAUAUCACGCAGAACACCGAUUGCGAAGGCAUCUCACGAAUCCGCGAUUGACGCUGAUGCACGAAAGCGUGGGUAUCAAACAGGAUUAGAUACCCCAGUAGUC